GAUGAACGCUGGCGGCGUGCCUAAUACAUGCAAGUCGAGCGAACAGACGAGGAGCUUGCUCCUCUGACGUUAGCGGCGGACGGGUGAGUAACACGUGGAUAACCUACCUAUAAGACUGGGAUAACUUCGGGAAACCGGAGCUAAUACCGGAUAAUAUAUUGAACCGCAUGGUUCAAUAGUGAAAGACGGUUUUGCUGUCACUUAUAGAUGGAUCCGCGCCGCAUUAGCUAGUUGGUAAGGUAACGGCUUACCAAGGCAACGAUGCGUAGCCGACCUGAGAGGGUGCUCGGCCACACUGGAACUGAGACACGGUCCAGACGCCUACGAGAGGCAGCAGUAGGGAAGCUUCAGCAAUGGGCGAAAGCCUGACGGAGCAACGCCGCGUGAGUGAUGAAGGUCUUCGGAUCGUAAAACUCUGUUAUUAGGGAAGAACAAAUGUGUAAGUAACUAUGCACGUCUUGACGGUACCUAAACAGAAAGCAACGGCUAAAUACGUG
rnacentral:rRNA from 1 species